UAAAAAAAAAAAAAAUCCUGCUUAACAUUAUGAAAAAAACAUCACAGAGCUGUACUAAAAUGAAGGCUGUGACUUGAGAUUAGAAUUUGCUAUUGCAUUCAUCUAGUAUUGAAAAUAUAAUGUGAUCUUUGGUUCAGUGAACGCUUCCAAAUCCACUUCACUUUCACCUUUAUUACACUUCUAAGUCAUAAUCUCUUACAUAAAAAGAAGCAAUUUUUUUUACUGUCAACUUUCAUAUGGGGAGUGAUUAAAAAAACCUGCACUGAGCACGUGUGAUUACUCAGUAUCAAGGUGAAUCUGGGUAGCUCUGGAAGACAACUGAAAUAUAAUGUUUUCAGUGUUUUUUAGAGUUUUAGCUGGUCAGGAACAUACAGGUAUGAUAACAUGCCCAAGUGAACUUUUUGAAAGAUAGAGAAAAAUGUUUCUUUUUGGUUAUAAAGAGGCCACACACGGACUUUUAGAUCAUCAUUUUUCUGGCCUAUUUGACCAACAUGGGUCUUUGUCUAUAUCAUUUCCAAUAUAAGCAAUUAUUUUAAUCAGUUAUUAAGACGUUGUGGUUUACAUCUCCUUACAUAUUAUUUACCAGCUAUUGUCAUGUUUUAUCGCCCUGUUCAUCCCCUGUAUGAGACUCACUGGUAAACUCUACCCAAGCUAUAUACGAAGUAUACAUCCAGUGCACGUCGCAUUGGUACCUGGUGAGAUAAAUGCCACUUAAAACAUCCAGAAGAUGCAUUACGUUAUCAGAAUAGUUACAGCAGGCUGAUAGAUAAUGAAGCUACCAAGCUAAGUUCAUAAUUGGUUGCUUCUGUACAUUGGUGCAAAUUCUUUAUUUUCUUCAUCAUUUCUUCCACAAUGCCAAAGCGAUUAUUCACAAGACAUUUUCAUUUCUGAGGUAUACCUGGAAUCUUUUGGGCUUUCCUCGCAUCGUUCCUGGCAGUACACUAUGGGAGGGGUUGUGUUUCCCAGACCCUGGCUCUAAGCUUGCCAUUAGGCAGCUGAAGCGACGAGUAAGCACAAUACAUGUUACUGAUUUCCUAUACUCAGUGCCACAGCGAUGAGAUCAAAGAGUUAGAGCCUGUAAUGCAAGCCCCGCUGCUGCUAAAUUUGGGAUAGGUGUCACAGGGCACUGCAGCCUGGAGUUAGUUACUUAGUCAGCUGUGAGCUGAGACUUAUAAAUGUGUGUUUUUUUUUUCUGCUUCAUAACUCAGAAGUUUUCUUUGAUGUUCAAUAUAAAAUGUUGCACUUUGAAUGAUAAUAAUAAUAAUAAAAAAUCCUCAACUAUUUAACACCCUUAACUUCUAACAACGAAAUAUUUUUUAAUCGUAAAGCUGAUUGUGGUCUUUGGCAUCUUACUUUGGGCAGUGGAAACAGCCUCCCUCUCCCUCCCUCAUGGUCUCUUUCCCUAUGUUACUUUACAUUUCAACUCCUUUUCCUGUUCUUUCUCAGUUUUGUCAUUCUCAGCCCUUUAGCACAAGGCACAGGUGCCCCAGGAACAGGCAUCAGCCUCCUGCAUCUACUUUUAAAUUGCGGCCCAGGUGGGUGUGAAGCUGCUGGGGGAGGAGGGAAAUACUUUGUGAGGGUCAGGGCUGGGGAAAUAACACAAGCCUCUUGGUUUUGUUUAGAAUCCAGACAAAAAUUACUGAAGAAAUUUGGGUGGAGCAAUGCUUUGGUCCUCUGGAAAUGCAAUUUCCCUCUGGAUGAAGAGAGGCAGACUUUGGCUUCCAGGACAGUUAUUUGGGAGGUCUGGUAAAGCCUGCUGCUGAUGUGCCUGGUUCAUGCUGAGCAGGAACAGCUUUGGAAUGAAUCAGAGGGACUAAGGAAUCUUCCCUGAAACAAGUGCUGAAGCAGCUGCUACUUGCUGUGUGGUAAAUGUGGAAUUCCAGCCACUUCUGGGGGAUAGGAGAAGGCUAAAAUGGUCACUUCAAGUGAGAAAGCAUGAAGCCUCUGAAAAAAAUCCUUUGCUCCUUAACGUGUAUCUUGAAGUGGCCAAGUCAUUCUGGCUACAGCAUUGAAAUGACAGGGGAUGCCUGAGCUGGUCACUCAUUUUUUUUUUUUUCUUUUUUGUGCUUUUAUCAAAUGGCCAGCCACAUAUAUCUGUUCUCCUUUACUAGGGUACAAGAGGACAUGUUAGAAGGCUGCCAAUGCACUGUGAAAACUGUUAAAGAUAAUCCCUAAACUUCCUAACCUGAAAGAUCCAUGCCCUACAAAUUGCAAUAAACCUUGUGUAUGAUGGAGUGAAAAAUGCACUUUUGUUCUACUGGCCACAGCAUUUAACACAAAUUCUUACUUAUAGGAGCAAACUGUAGAUUGAAAGCACAGCUAGCAAUGCUCAUUCUGUCAGCACAUCUUGGUUCUGAGAAUGCAGCGAGUUAGGAAUUUAGUGAUUAAAGUCUGUACUUUGGUUUUGUUUUAUUCAAACUAUCAUAUGGAACAUAUAUAACAAUAGCAAAAUUUUGGAGCCUGUUAUUUUAAAUUUUUAGGUAUAUGCUCACAGAUAUCCUGCUGCUGCCUGUUAUACCAGUAGGAAAGGAGGAAAAUUGUUAUAUAUGUCUGCAUAUUGUUUGAUAACAGGAAAAUAUAUUGUGUCGUCAAGAAUUUUGAAGAGGCAAGGAUACAAGAGCUGUUUUUGUUGCUAGAAAUGACGUCCAGAACUGCGGAUACAGGGCUGAAAUUCCCCAUUUACAAACCUUCCUGAGUGUCUGUACCAACAGACUUUGUCCAGCUUAUCUCUGCUUUCCAGAAAUCUUAAUUUCUGUGAAACAUUAUAAACUAAUGUUUCAAGAAAAAAAAUCAAGGAAAACUUUACUCUUUGCCUCAGCCCCAGAAGGGUUGCAAGCGACACAAUGGAAAUAUUUUGCUGUGAGAGAACGUAUAGGAAUGUGGAUUUGAAAAAAUAAAACAAACAAAACCUUACACAAUAGUUUCUGUUAGAAAGUUUCUGCUUUAGGGAUUUUAUGCAGAGCCUUCACGACUAAGCAGCAGCAUGCUGCCAUCUACUGGCAAAAUGCACAACAGGCACUCACCAGCAAGUACUAUCGCAUUUAUUAAAUAACUUUUUAUUUAAAUUGGCACGCGGUAUAAAACCACACAGUUUAAAAAAAAAAAAAAAAUCGAGCAAAAAGCAUAUUUGAUCAGAAUAAAAAAUUACAAUGAAACGGAGUGAAGCAAGUGUUAUAAAUCACAGCAUUACAGAAGUCAUCAAUAUGCAGUAUGUAAAAAUUGUAUUUCGCAUUAGGGAGGAAAUGUAGGAGGAAAUAAACCAUUUAUUUAUGAUUUUUUCAUCCCUUUGCCAAUGUUCUGAAAAGAGGAGAAAUAUGCAGCGUUUCCCUCCAGGAAGGUACUUGAGAUGGAAACGGUCCUACACCUACAAACCCGAAAGGUAACGAUUGUGUGAACACAUGCACUGAGUGCUACUCAGUGUGGAGGAGAUUCAGUGGCAAAAAGACACUUGUAAUCCCCUCUGAAGCUGUCUGACUUCACACACCUGAAUGAGUAACAGGUCUUGGUGCUUUUAACUCUCUCGUGCAGUCUCUUAGGAGUAGGUCUGUAAGGAAUGGGGUCCUGUGUGCACACAGCCAGUGCAUCAGCUGGGGGAAAAAUGUAUAAGCAAAAAUCAUUCUUCAGUGCUCCUAAUGAAUCAUUCCGGUCCUGUUUUUUCAAUGCAUGAUCUGCUUUGGUUUCCCAGAUUGUUAUACAACAAUGGAAGAAGGGGAAAGAAAAGAAAAAUAAAUGUUUUCACUGAAUUUUGCUGAAAGUUCCCAGCUAAAGAUCACUAAAUAUUCUGUAUAUGAAUGAAGAAAUUCAUUAAUUAUUCCUUCAUUCACACAAGAUAGGAAGCUAUAUAAAAAUCCCAACUACUUGAUAUGUCUGUAAAUUGACCAGAAAAUAAAAUCAUUCUCUUUAUGACCCAGCUUACCACCUGCCACUAGUAAUCUGAUGUAUUUUCAAAGAGGUAUCCCUCCCAAAGCUGCAGAAAUGUCCAAGAGCUUCUUAGCUUUUGGAGACAAGUACUGACUCUCAAGGAGUCAAAAGGAGUAAAUCACAUGUCUCAUGUGAGCCCUCGUUCCCCCUGCUGGCAGUGUGUCUGGCUGAGGGUGCAAACUGUGCCUCUGCUUGUCCCUUCAUGUCCCCCAAACACCUCAUCCUCUUGCUCCCGAAGUCACCUUCUUCCAUUUCUCAGCUUUUCCCAAUCCACCUACUUUGUUGUUUCUGGCUGACAAAUGGCUCUUAGCGGAAGAAAAUGCUUUGUUCACAUUCAUCCAAAGCAGUUUAAAAUCUGCGUUCAGUUAAAACUUUGUCAUUGUGAAGUCCACGUUUUUGAUCUGUUCCUUGUUGACAGGACAUUUGUCUUUAGGGUCUUCUCUUCGCACAUCUGUGUGUGUGUUGCAUGUUUUUCAGAGAAUGCAUGUAAUGCUGGGAUGGGUUUUCUUAUUAUUUGAUAUAUAUAUAUGUGUGUGUGUGUAUAUUUGCUAAAACUUAGAGUUCUGACCAUAAAUGAAGAAAAUGCCCACAAGCACUUUCAUGCAUAAUUUCCAGUGUUUAUUCCAACUCAUACAAAAUAAUACUAGAGACAAUAUUUAUCUAUUAGAAAACAAAUAGUUAACAUUUGUAUUUGGAGAGGAGGUUGUUAUUCUGUGAUGGAAAUAAAAGAUUGGCGAUGAGGACUUGUAGGCUGACUUUUCUGUGAUGUAGUGUUGGCUCCCUAUGAUUUUUUUUGUCUUAUUUUACUAUGCUAGUAACUGAACGUUGUGAUGUUAACCUACAGAUGUUAACCAGGUGAAAGCUCAAAUGCCUCAAAGCUUAUAAGUGCUCAAAUGGUGGCUGAGGAAAGGCUGAGCAGGACAAGGAGUAGCAUCUAGCUCUUUCCCAGGACACAUACUGAUGGUGUCCUUAGUUUGUUACCAUGCUGUCACCCAAAUGGUUGAAUUUUCAAGUAGCAGCUCUGAUCUGGGAAAGGUGCUGUUGGUUACAGGGUUGUUUGUCCUCUCCCAGCUCCCUUUGUGCUUUUUUUCCUCUUCCGUACCUCAUUGGCUGAAGGACCACAACAACUCCUAAAUGCUAUUCAGCUACUUAACGCACACUUCUGUAGAAACUCAAGCCUACUAUGAUGGGUCAGUCAUCCAAGGUUGUGUCUUGGAGGAGUAAAAAGGCACAGGACACAUGCAAUGGUCAGCUAACUCACCUGGCUACCAUCCCUAUGGAUUUCUUCCUACAGAUCUCUGUUUGAAGGUUAAAAAACUUGGCUCAGGUCUGUCCCAAUAGUUGUGAUGUGCUGUCUUCAGGCAGCACGGAUGCUUGGACUUCUGCAGCAUAAAAAGACCAAGUAACCAACAGGCACUUUUCCUUGCCUGGCUGCCACUUCAGCUCCUUGCUUUUCAUCCUGCUAGAACUUGUUUACUGUUGGUGUGCAGUGUAUAAAGCUCCUCUCUUUAUUUGGUCCUUUGGGGAGGGGUGAGUAUCGUAUGAGGGCGUAUGAGUAUCUAUCCCUCCUGUCUUUAUUUUGGGUGAAGUCCAAAACUGGAAGGCACCUGUCUUCUGGCUCUGGAGGGGCAGCAAUCCAAGCUGGUGGAAAUGUCACGAACAGCUGAUCUUGAAGCAAGGGCUGUCAAAACACUUGUGUUUUACAGCCCUAAUCCCAUUUUAGCACCAAACAAAUAAUAAUGUUCUGGCAUAGUGACCUGCAGAAAACCUCCUGUUUUCUUUCUGUUGCUUGCUUUUGAAAUCUUGUUGAAACCUUAUCAAACAUCGCUGCUUUCAGAGUCCAGAUUUAUAUUCUUGUACAGUCAUGAAGUCAAGUCUUCGCUCUGAAUGUGCCCUAUGCCAACAUCUAGGUCUGAUAGCCUCCUAAGGCUACCUGUAAUGAGUAAAAAUGGUAGGAGGUGGGAUGUGAAAAAGAUAAAAGCUUGUACCAAAAUAAUCUCUAACUGAAGAACAUUAUGAAAGAAUUUAAAUACAAAACUUAUAAGGAUACAUGAACAUUUUGAGUCUUCUAGAAGCCUUGAUCAGCCAGCUAUAGAAACACAGAUGGUUUCAAUGUUGUCCCCGGCCCUAAAUAAUUUCAACACAACUUUGCCCUGUAUUAGAACCUGUGUGCUCUCUCAUGCUAAAUGUUUCAUGAGUUCUUGUAUAUGGCCUCAUGGAAAAAUAGAGGAGAUUCAGUGAUGGUGGAAGCUUUUUCCUAAAAAUGUCUCUAUCCUGACUGAUUUUUAUAAGCAGUCUCUUUGGAUGCUGGGGUGGUGGGAUCUCUCUGGUAACAAAACAAGUUCCUUCUAGCUUUUAAUCAGGUUUUAAGCUGAAGGUUUGGCUAAAUUUAUGUGGCAGAGUAUUUUAUUGAUAGAAGAGCUUGCCAGACCUCUUUGGCAGUGCUCUCUUUUCACUUAAAGACCUUGGUGUAAAUCUUUUUAAUGGUUCAGCUACAAAAAAUUUCAAAGAAUCUUUCCCCGCUUCUUUCCAUUGCACUAUCAUCUGUGUAAAUCAUCUUGCUUACUCAUUCUCUUAGCUACUUUAGAUUGUUAGUCUUAAUGACAGUACUGCAGUAAAAGUGGGGAAAAAAGUAUUUUAAACUGUCAUUAGUCCAUAAAACUUUGAUCAUUUAUAGUAAGUGGGAAUUCAUCGUGGACUUUUAAGAGAAGGGAGAGGUCAGUCAUACCAUCCCUACUUAGUUGUGCACCUAUAUGAUAAAGCACACCUCAGGGGAAAAAUAGAAGGUGGAAAUGUAAGGAUUAAAUGUGAUAGAACUUUGAUGUAGCUACUCUUUGAGUUAUAAAAUAUGAUGUAAUAAGUACCUGGACUCUUCUUUGAACUUUUCUUGUGUUUUACUCUAAAAUAUGCAACGCUAAGAGUUAUUUUAGUGGUGCAAAGUUUGAUUGCAGUAAAUCAUCUGACAGUUAUCACUACCAUCGUUCAGCAGUUUUUGAAAUGUGAAUUCCAUGCUAAUUGUACUGAAAAGGUACUUUUUGUUGUAUAUAGUGUUGUAUAUAUACAUUAUAUGAUAUACAUUAUAAUGCUUUUAUUCAUUUUCAUUACCUGUAACAACGUGCAGGAAAUUCUUCCAGGGUAAAUGUGGGCCCAGUGCAGAGAAAUCUAACGAUAUCACUAGCAUUUUUCUGGUUAAAUCUUCAACAAAACUUUUAGUGAAUCAGGAGGUCUUCUUCGGGACCUAAUGCUGUAUUAAUAUGAACUUCAACCACAGACCCUGUUUGCCAAGCUUCAUUAAUAUUGAUACACUGGAAAACAUUGACAGAUCUUAAAUACUCUAAAAACAGACUUUUGCCAUGGUCUGUUGGUUGGUUGUUGGUGUUUGUUUCUCUUUAAGAUAUAUUGUUUGGCAGAUCGAUUCAGUCAUCUGAAAUGUCAAUAUAUUGAAAUAUAAUUUCUUAAUGUCUGAAUAUUCAGAACGUAGAACUUGGAACUUAAAGGUGAAUCUUUGAUUACCUGACAAAAUGAUUGCUUAAGUUUCCAGGUGUCAUCCAGAACAAUUCCAUUCAAAAACAUUAUGGAAUUCAAAGCACUGGAUAAGUACUUAGGAACAUACCUCGUAAAACAGAGAUAGAUAUGCUGUCCUCAUUAAUAAAAAUAAGUUUUAUGUGAGUAAGUAUUGGAGUAGCAGUAUGUGUGGUUUACAUAUGUGUAAUACAUAGACAUCUGAAGAUUCCUUCCUGCUAUCCAGGUAAAUGACAUCUUAAUUCAUUCAGAGUCUUCCCCCAUCCUCACUGUUCAUAAACUUCCACGAAUCUCAUUUAGGCUUUUUUUUUGUUGUGCUUAAUUUCAAUAUAAACAGGUAAUUGCAGUAAUAAUUUGAUGAAAAUCUGACCAUUCCUUUGAAAUAAGUGGAAUAUGAAAAAUACACUGUAUUAAGCUUGCUAUGUAGAAUAGUCUGAUUUUUGGCUGAUUUUGGACUAUUCUCACACCUUGCUUAAUUGUUGGUGUGUUUGCAUACUACUUUUUUAUGUGAACUUAUGGUUUGCUGUACUGCUUGCAUAAAAAUCAACUGACUUUAGCAGGGGUAACCAUCUAGUCAAACAGAGCAGAAUAACACAUGGAUUACCUUGCUGAAAAGUGUACGUCUUUUGGCGUGAAUGCAAAAAUUGUUUUAAGCAGAAUCCACGUGGUAUGUACUAUGCUGUAGAAGUUUGCCAUUUUUCUCUUUCUGUAGUAAUUUAUAUAAACACAGGUUGCAUAAAAAGAGGUAAACACUGGGCAAAUAUCUUUAUUGAAUUUCAACCUGGAUUAUGAAUAAUGAUUUUUGAAGUCUUCAAACCCAGAAAACAAUAUAUGCAUUUCAAAAGGCUCUACUCCUAGCUGGCUUUAUUUAGCAUUCUUGUGAAUAGUUUUUUAUUAUUGAUUGUUGUUGUUUUUUCCUACAAGGUUUACUAGAUGUACUGGAGUUGUCCUUUGUACAAUUUCAUUUUCUUUUAUUGGUUCCCUUAGGACAUCGUUAUCCUUUAAAUAAGAAUAGAAAACUGUGUUCUCCUUCUCCUGUUUGGUUUUCUCCCAUACUCUUUAUUUCCAUUUGAGCAACAAGGUUGGUCAGGGAAUUCAGAAUUAAGACUCCAUUUCACAUCCUCUUCCUUACCUAUCUGUGUUGCAGCUAAUACUGUCCUCAGGGUAUUUAAUACAGUGAGUCAAGAAUGCAUCCUGACAAAACAGUAGGGCCGUGUGUAGGGAGAUACAAUGCGUAAGGUAGUACUCUUUGAAAAUAUUCUUAAAAUUAAAAGAGCUGGUACAAAAACAUUUGUGGACAAAAUGACUCUGUGAGUAGGAAGUAUGUCAAAAUUAGAAUAUGAUAUCCGUAAGGUAGUAGAGAAGUCUUCUGAAGUUUAUUCUUCUUGUGUUUCUUGUUCUCUUUUUUCUCUGCCCCAUCUCUUUCUAUAGUCUGACUCCCACUUUUCACUUAUUAAGAAAACUACUUUAAAAUGAAGUUAUAAUCCGGUGGUGCAAGCAAUUUCUCUUCAGUUGUGGCACAGAGAACAAAAGAGUUUUAUCUCAGCUUGUUUAUCCCAGAAGGAUGGAUGGUUUCUGCUAUGGUUUCAGGAGAAAGAGAUACUUAAGUUGCACGUUUUCUACUGACUGUAAGAUUUCAAGGAUUUUAAAGAAAGAAAGAAAAUGGGAGCCAAAUGAGAGCAUAAAUAUCUUUAAACUAAAAAGCUAAAGAGUUUUUCAUCCUUGUUUUAUUUGUUCUCUAAAGCUUUGCUGGAAAGGGGGAAGGGGUGUCCAAAUUUCAGCUGGAGUAGGAAUGAAAGAGAGAAGUGACAAGUCUUUCCAAAAAAAAAAAA